rnacentral:rRNA from 1 species
GGGUUGUGAGGUUAAGCGACUAAGCGUACACGGUGGAUGCCCUGGCAGUCAGAGGCGAUGAAGGACGUGCUAAUCUGCGAUAAGCGUCGGUAAGGUGAUAUGAACCGUUAUAACCGGCGAUUUCCGAAUGGGGAAACCCAGUGUGAUUCGUCACACUAUCAUUAACUGAAUCCAUAGGUUAAUGAGGCGAACCGGGGGAACUGAAACAUCUAAGUACCCCGAGGAAAAGAAAUCAACCGAGAUUCCCCCAGUAGCGGCGAGCGAACGGGGAGGAGCCCAGAGCCUGAAUCAGUGUGUGUGUUAGUGGAAGCGUCUGGAAAGGCGCGCGAUACAGGGUGACAGCCCCGUACACAAAAAUACACAUAUUGUGAGCUCGAUGAGUAGGGCGGGACACGUGGUAUCCUGUCUGAAUAUGGGGGGACCAUCCUCCAAGGCUAAAUACUCCUGACUGACCGAUAGUGAACCAGUACCGUGAGGGAAAGGCGAAAAGAACCCCGGCGAGGGGAGUGAAAAAGAACCUGAAACCGUGUACGUACAAGCAGUGGGAGCACGCUUAGGCGUGUGACUGCGUACCUUUUGUAUAAUGGGUCAGCGACUUAUAUUCUGUAGCAAGGUUAACCGAAUAGGGGAGCCGAAGGGAAACCGAGUCUUAACUGGGCGUUAAGUUGCAGGGUAUAGACCCGAAACCCGGUGAUCUAGCCAUGGGCAGGUUGAAGGUUGGGUAACACUAACUGGAGGACCGAACCGACUAAUGUUGAAAAAUUAGCGGAUGACUUGUGGCUGGGGGUGAAAGGCCAAUCAAACCGGGAGAUAGCUGGUUCUCCCCGAAAGCUAUUUAGGUAGCGCCUCGUGAAUUCAUCUCCGGGGGUAGAGCACUGUUUCGGCAAGGGGGUCAUCCCGACUUACCAACCCGAUGCAAACUGCGAAUACCGGAGAAUGUUAUCACGGGAGACACACGGCGGGUGCUAACGUCCGUCGUGAAGAGGGAAACAACCCAGACCGCCAGCUAAGGUCCCAAAGUCAUGGUUAAGUGGGAAACGAUGUGGGAAGGCCCAGACAGCCAGGAUGUUGGCUUAGAAGCAGCCAUCAUUUAAAGAAAGCGUAAUAGCUCACUGGUCGAGUCGGCCUGCGCGGAAGAUGUAACGGGGCUAAACCAUGCACCGAAGCUGCGGCAGCGACGCUUAUGCGUUGUUGGGUAGGGGAGCGUUCUGUAAGCCUGUGAAGGUGUGCUGUGAGGCAUGCUGGAGGUAUCAGAAGUGCGAAUGCUGACAUAAGUAACGAUAAAGCGGGUGAAAAGCCCGCUCGCCGGAAGACCAAGGGUUCCUGUCCAACGUUAAUCGGGGCAGGGUGAGUCGACCCCUAAGGCGAGGCCGAAAGGCGUAGUCGAUGGGAAACAGGUUAAUAUUCCUGUACUUGGUGUUACUGCGAAGGGGGGACGGAGAAGGCUAUGUUGGCCGGGCGACGGUUGUCCCGGUUUAAGCGUGUAGGCUGGUUUUCCAGGCAAAUCCGGAAAAUCAAGGCUGAGGCGUGAUGACGAGGCACUACGGUGCUGAAGCAACAAAUGCCCUGCUUCCAGGAAAAGCCUCUAAGCAUCAGGUAACAUCAAAUCGUACCCCAAACCGACACAGGUGGUCAGGUAGAGAAUACCAAGGCGCUUGAGAGAACUCGGGUGAAGGAACUAGGCAAAAUGGUGCCGUAACUUCGGGAGAAGGCACGCUGAUAUGUAGGUGAAGUCCCUUGCGGAUGGAGCUGAAAUCAGUCGAAGAUACCAGCUGGCUGCAACUGUUUAUUAAAAACACAGCACUGUGCAAACACGAAAGUGGACGUAUACGGUGUGACGCCUGCCCGGUGCCGGAAGGUUAAUUGAUGGGGUCAGCGCAAGCGAAGCUCUUGAUCGAAGCCCCGGUAAACGGCGGCCGUAACUAUAACGGUCCUAAGGUAGCGAAAUUCCUUGUCGGGUAAGUUCCGACCUGCACGAAUGGCGUAAUGAUGGCCAGGCUGUCUCCACCCGAGACUCAGUGAAAUUGAACUCGCUGUGAAGAUGCAGUGUACCCGCGGCAAGACGGAAAGACCCCGUGAACCUUUACUAUAGCUUGACACUGAACAUUGAGCCUUGAUGUGUAGGAUAGGUGGGAGGCUUGGAAGUGUGGACGCCAGUCUGCAUGGAGCCGACCUUGAAAUACCACCCUUUAAUGUUUGAUGUUCUAACGUUGACCCGUAAUCCGGGUUGCGGACAGUGUCUGGUGGGUAGUUUGACUGGGGCGGUCUCCUCCUAAAGAGUAACGGAGGAGCACGAAGGUUGGCUAAUCCUGGUCGGACAUCAGGAGGUUAGUGCAAUGGCAUAAGCCAGCUUGACUGCGAGCGUGACGGCGCGAGCAGGUGCGAAAGCAGGUCAUAGUGAUCCGGUGGUUCUGAAUGGAAGGGCCAUCGCUCAACGGAUAAAAGGUACUCCGGGGAUAACAGGCUGAUACCGCCCAAGAGUUCAUAUCGACGGCGGUGUUUGGCACCUCGAUGUCGGCUCAUCACAUCCUGGGGCUGAAGUAGGUCCCAAGGGUAUGGCUGUUCGCCAUUUAAAGUGGUACGCGAGCUGGGUUUAGAACGUCGUGAGACAGUUCGGUCCCUAUCUGCCGUGGGCGCUGGAGAACUGAGGGGGGCUGCUCCUAGUACGAGAGGACCGGAGUGGACGCAUCACUGGUGUUCGGGUUGUCAUGCCAAUGGCACUGCCCGGUAGCUAAAUGCGGAAGAGAUAAGUGCUGAAAGCAUCUAAGCACGAAACUUGCCCCGAGAUGAGUUCUCCCUGACUCCUUGAGAGUCCUGAAGGAACGUUGAAGACGACGACGUUGAUAGGCCGGGUGUGUAAGCGCAGCGAUGCGUUGAGCUAACCGGUACUAAUGAACCGUGAGGCUUAACCUUACAACGCCGAAGCUGUU